UGCCCCCACCAAUGGACAAAGAGACACCUGGUUGGUGGCGGCAUUCUUACUGUUAGUCAGGGGCAGAGCAGUGGCAGUCCUAUGUUCAUCUUAGCUUGAUGCCUGGCUUGGUGGCCAAAGCUGUUUCAUGCCUAGAACUCAUAA